AUUGAACGCUGGCGGAAUGCUUUACACAUGCAAGUCGAACGGCAGCACGGGGGCAGCCCUGGUGGCGAGUGGCGAACGGGUGAGUAAUACAUCGGAACGUGCCCGGUCGUGGGGGAUAACGUAGCGAAAGUUACGCUAAUACCGCAUACGAUCUGAGGAUGAAAGCGGGGGACCUUCGGGCCUCGCGCGAUCGGAGCGGCCGAUGUCAGAUUAGGUAGUUGGUGGGGUAAAGGCCUACCAAGCCGACGAUCUGUAGCUGGUCUGAGAGGACGACCAGCCACACUGGGACUGAGACACGGCCCAGACUCCUACGGGAGACAGCAGUGGGGAAUUUUGGACAAUGGGCGCAAGCCUGAUCCAGCCAUUCCGCGUGCAGGACGAAGGCCUUCGGGUUGUAAACUGCUUUUGUACGGAACGAAAAGGCUCUGGCUAAUACCUGGGGCUCAUGACGGUACCGUAAGAAUAAGCACCGGCUAACUACGUG
rnacentral:rRNA from 1 species